rnacentral:rRNA from 1 species
AUUGAACGCUGGCGGCAGGCCUAACACAUGCAAGUCGAACGAGUGGCGGACGGGUGAGUAAUGUCUGGGAAACUGCCUGAUGGAGGGGGAUAACUACUGGAAACGGUAGCUAAUACCGCAUACCAUCGGAUGUGCCCAGCUGGGAUUAGCUAGUAGGUGGGGUAACGGCUCACCUAGGCGCCGCUCCCUAGCUGGUCUGAGAGGAUGACCAGCCACACUGGAAAGUAGACACGGUCCAGACUCCUACGGGAGGCAGCAGUGGGGAAUAUUGCGCAAUGGGCGCAAGCCUGAUGCAGCCAUGCCGCGUGUAUGAAGAAGGCCUUCGGGUUGGAAAGUACUUUCAGCGGGGAGGCGUUACCCGCAGAAGAAGCACCGGCUAACACCGUGCCAGCAGCCGCGGUAAUUC